AAAAAAGGUAAGCUACUAAGAGCGAAUGGUGGAUGCCUUGACUGGUAAAGGCGAUGAAGGACGUACUAGACUGCGAUAAGCUACGGGGAGCUGUCAAGAAGCUUUGAUCCGUAGAUUUCCGAAUGGGGCAACCCAAUGUAUAGAGAUAUACAUUACCUAUAUAGGAGCGAACGAGGGGAAUUGAAACAUCUUAGUACCCUCAGGAAAAGAAAUCAAUAGAGAUUGCGUCAGUAGCGGCGAGCGAAAGCGCAAGAGGGCAAACCCAGUGCUUGCACUGGGGGUUGUAGGACUGCAAUGUGCAAGAGGUGAGUUUAGCAGAACAUUCUGGAAAGUAUAGCCAUAGAGGGUGAUAGUCCCGUAUGCGAAAAACAAACCUUAGCUAGCAGUAUCCUGAGUAGGGCGGGACACGAGGAAUCCUGUCUGAAUCCGGGUCGACCACGAUCCAACCCUAAAUACUAAUACCAGAUCGAUAGUGCACAAGUACCGUGAGGGAAAGGUGAAAAGAACUGAGGUGAUCAGAGUGAAAUAGAACCUGAAACCAUUUGCUUACAAUCAUUCAGAGCCCUAUGUAGCAAUACAGGGUGAUGGACUGCCUUUUGCAUAAUGAGCCUGCGAGUUGUGGUGUCUGGCAAGGUUAAGCAAACGCGAAGCCGUAGCGAAAGCGAGUCUGAAUAGGGCGCUUAGUCAGAUGCUGCAGACCCGAAACGAAGUGAUCUAUCCAUGAGCAAGUUGAAGCUAGUGUAAGAACUAGUGGAGGACUGAACCCAUAGGCGUUGAAAAGCCCCGGGAUGACUUGUGGAUAGGGGUGAAAGGCCAAUCAAACUUCGUGAUAGCUGGUUCUCUCCGAAAUAUAUUUAGGUAUAGCGUUGUGUCGUAAUAUAAGGGGGUAGAGCACUGAAUGGGCUAGGGCAUACACCAAUGUACCAAACCCUAUCAAACUCCGAAUACCUUAUAUGUAAUCACAGCAGUCAGGCGGCGAGUGAUAAAAUCCGUCGUCAAGAGGGAAACAACCCAGACUACCAGCUAAGGUCCCUAAAUCUUACUUAAGUGGAAAACGAUGUGAAGUUACUUAAACAACCAGGAGGUUGGCUUAGAAGCAGCCAUCCUUUAAAGAAAGCGUAAUAGCUCACUGGUCUAGUGAUUUUGCGCGGAAAAUAUAACGGGGCUAAAGUAAGUACCGAAGCUGUAGACUUGCGCACAACUUAGAUUAUUUAAGUUUAGAAUAUGAGAAACUAAGUUAUAUGUUUAGUUAUAUUUUUACUGAUUUUUAUAGAGUAAAGAUAGAAAUAAAACUUAGUAAAAUCAGUAAAAAUAUUCUUAGAUUAAAGUUAAGUAGUUUAAGUUGUGUGCAAGUGGUAGGAGAGCGUUCUAUUUGCGUCGAAGGUAUACCGGUAAGGAGUGCUGGAGCGAAUAGAAGUGAGCAUGCAGGCAUGAGUAGCGAUAAUUAAUGUGAGAAUCAUUAACGCCGUAAACCCAAGGUUUCCUACGCGAUGCUCGUCAUCGUAGGGUUAGUCGGGUCCUAAGUCGAGUCCGAAAGGGGUAGACGAUGGCAAAUUGGUUAAUAUUCCAAUACCAACAUUAGUGUGCGAUGGAAGGACGCUUAGGGCUAAGGGGGCUAGCGGAUGGAAGUGCUAGUCUAAGGUCGUAGGAGGUUAUACAGGCAAAUCCGUAUAACAA
rnacentral:rRNA from 1 species